rnacentral:rRNA from 1 species
AGAACGAACGCUGGCGGCAUGCCUAAUACAUGCAAGUCGAACGAACACUUCGGUGUUAGUGGCGCACGGGUGCGUAACGCGUGGGAAUCUGCCCUUGGGUUCGGAAUAACAGUUGGAAACGACUGCUAAUACCGGAUGAUAUCGAAAGAUCAAAGAUUUAUCGCCCAGGGAUGAGCCCGCGUAGGAUUAGCUAGUUGGUGAGG